rnacentral:rRNA from 1 species
UGUUCUGGGCUGCACGCGCGCUACACUGAUGCAUGCAACGAGUUCUUGACCUUGGCCGGAAGGUCUAGGUAAUCUUUUGAGUGUGCAUCGUGAUGGGGAUAGAUUAUUGCAAUUAUUAAUCUUCAACGAGGAAUGCCUAGUAGGCGUAAGUCAGCAGCUCGCGCCGAUUACGUCCCUGCCCUUUGUACACACCGCCCGUCGCUGCAACCGAUCGGAGGGUCCUGUGAACUCAAUGGACUGAUCAACUCCUUUUUGGGUGUUGGUCGGGAAGUUGCGUAAAUAGAGCCCUCUAAAGGAUGCAAAAGUCGUAACACGGUUUCCGUAGGUGAACCUGCGGAAGGAUCAUUC